GGAGGGGUGGCCGAGUGGUCGAAGGCGGUCGACUCGAAAUCGAUUAGGCGGCUCAUACCCGUCUCGUGGGUUCAAAUCCCACCCUCUCCGCCA
rnacentral:tRNA from 2 species